GCGAGCGACUCUGGAGAGACCGGCAACCACCGGCGCCGAAGGGGCAGUGGACCGCAUCGCGGUUCCAAACUCUCAGGCAAAAGGACAGAGGGGCGAAU
rnacentral:ncRNA from 2 species